GACUACAGGGGUAUCUAAUCCUGUUUGCUCCCCACGCUUUCGUGCAUCAGCGUCAGUUAUAGCUUAGUGAGCUGCCUUCGCAAUCGGUGUUCUGUGUCAUAUCUAAGCAUUUCACCGCUACAUGACACAUUCCGCCCACCUCAACUAUACUCAAGCUCAUCAGUAUCAAUGGCAAUUCUGAAGUUGAGCUUCAGGCUUUCACCACUGACUUAAUAAGCCGCCUACGCACCCUUUAAACCCAAUAAAUCCGGAUAACGCUUGGAUCCUUCGUAUUACCGCGGCUGCUGGCACGAAGUUAGCCGAUCCUUAUUCUUCUGGUACAUUCAGCCCUCUACACGUAGAGGGGUUUAUUCCCAGAUAAAAGCAGUUUACGAUGCAGAGCACCUUCAUCCUGCACGCGGCAUGGCUGGAUCAGCCUUGCGGCCAUUGUCCAAUAUUCCUUACUGCAGCCCCCCGUAGG
rnacentral:rRNA from 1 species